UGGGGAAUCUUGCCCAAUGGGCGCAAGCCUGAGGCAGCAACGCCGCGUGCGGGAAGAAGGCCCUAGGGUUGUAAACCGCUUUCGCCAGGGACGAAAAUGACGGUACCUGGAGAAGAAGGUGCGGCCAACUACGUGCCAGCAGCCGCGGUGACACGUAGGCACCAAGCGUUGUCCGGAUUUAUUGGGCGUAAAGAGCUCGUAGGCGGUUCGGUUAGUCGGGUGUGAAAUCCUUGGGCUUAACCCAAGAACUGCACCCGAUACUGCUGUGACUCGAGUCCGGUAGAGGAGUGUGGAAUUCCUGGUGUAGCGGUGGAAUGCGCAGAUAUCAGGAGGAACACCAACGGCGAAGGCAGCACUCUGGGCCGGUACUGACGCUGAGGAGCGAAAGCGUGGGGAGCGAACAGGAUUAGAUACCCUGGUAGUCCACGCCGUAAACGUUGGGCACUAGGUGUGGGCCCUAACCAACGGGGUCCGUGCCGCAGCUAACGCAUUAAGUGCCCCGCCUGGGGAGUACGGCCGCAAGGCUA
rnacentral:rRNA from 1 species